rnacentral:rRNA from 1 species
GAUGAACGCUGGCGGCGUGCCUAAUACAUGCAAGUCGAGCGAACAGACGAGGAGCUUGCUCCUCUGACGUUAGCGGCGGACGGGUGAGUAACACGUGGAUAACCUACCUAUAAGACUGGGAUAACUUCGGGAAACCGGAGCUAAUACCGGAUAAUAUAUUGAACCGCAUGGUUCAAUAGUGAAAGACGGUUUUGCUGUCACUUAUAGAUGGAUCCGCGCCGCAUUAGCUAGUUGGUAAGGUAACGGCUUACCAAGGCAACGAUGCGUAGCCGACCUGAGAGGGUGAUCGGCCACACCGGAACUGAGACACGGUCCAGACUCCUACGGGAGGCAGCAGUAGGGAAUCUUCCGCAAUGGGCGAAAGCCUGACGGAGCAACGCCGCGUGAGUAAUGAAGGUCUUCGGAUCGUAAAACUCUGUUAUUAGGGAAGAACAAAUGUGAAAGUAACUAUGCACGUCUUGACGGUACCUAAUCAGAAAGCCACGGCUAACUACGUG